rnacentral:rRNA from 1 species
UACAGAGGUCCCAAGCGUUGUUCGGAUUCACUGGGCGUAAAGGGUGCGUAGGUGGCAAGGUAAGUUUGAUGUGAAAUCUCCGGGCUUAACCCGGAAACUGCAUUGAAUACUAUCUCGCUAGAGAGUUGGAGGGGAGACUGGAAUACUUGGUGUAGCAGUGAAAUGCGUAGAUAUCAAGUGGAACACCAGUGGCGAAGGCGAGUCUCUGGACAACUUCUGACACUGAGGCACGAAAGCUAGGGGAGCAAACAG